GACGAACCGUGCGAACGUUAUUCGGAAUCACUGGGCGUAAAGAGCGUGUAGGCGGCUUGGUAAGUCCGCUGUGAAAGUCCAGGGCUCAACCCUGGAAAGCCGGUGGAAACUGUCAAGCUUGAGUCCGGAAGAGGCGAGUGGAAUUCCUGGUGUAGCGGUGAAAUGCGCAGAUAUCAGGAGGAACACCAAUGGCGAAGGCAGCUCGCUGGGACGGUACUGACGCUGAGACGCGAAAGCGUGGGGAGCAAACAGG
rnacentral:rRNA from 1 species